GCGCAGUUUAGUCUCUCCCAGUCCAGCACGCAGGCCGGUACAGUGAGGUUAGCCUGCUGACUUGACAUUUGCGCUGUUUUGUUUACUCUCUUCAAGAAUAAUAAGAGAGAACUGGACUAGAACCCCUGCUUUGCUGGUGUCCUGUGGACCAUCUUCCUCUUAGGACUGUCAGACUCAUUGACUCCAGCUGUAUUUACC